GUUUUUUUGUGCCAGCUCAAGACUUCCCUAGCAAGAGCUUGCAACGCCAGCCUUUCUGCUGACAUCCUAAGAAAUGGCCUCCACUGCUCCGCUUCGGGACUGCACUGUAACCAAAAAAGAUGGGAAGGGAUACGGAUUUUUCCUACGCAUUGAAAAAGAUGAAGCUGGACAUCUUGUCCGUGCUAUAGAAAAGAACAGCUCAGCUGAAAAGGCUGGCCUGAAAGAUGGUGACCGGGUGCUGAGAGUCAAUGACACAUUUGUAGAUGAUAAAGAACACAUUGCUGUUGUGGAUCUGAUAAAGGCCAGUGGGAAUUCUGUAACACUCUUAGUUUUGGAUAAAGAUGUUUAUGAAAAUGCCCAGAAAAAGGGAGAGGACCUUUCCAAGCUCAACAAAAAUUCACCACAGCCAGCUAAGGACACAGAAGUCAGUCAGGCACUCCAGGCAGUAAAACCCAUAGUAAAUGGGAUCUCAGAUCCUGCACCGAAGCCGCGUAUUUGUUAUAUAGCUAAAGAUGGAGGUCCCUUUGGAUUUUCUAUUAAAACAGUGAAAGGUGCUAAUGGUUUAUUCUUGGCAUCUCUGGCUCCAAAUGGUGUGGCUGUUAAAGCAGGAGUCCGGGAAGGUGAUCGCAUCAUCGAGCUUAAUGGGAAAAAUGUUGAAAACGACACACACGAUCAAUUAGUUCAAAAGGUAAAGGAUGCUGGCGCCAAUAUGAUGUUCCUGGUGGCCGAUAAACAGACAGAAGACUAUUUCAAGAAACAGAAGAUGAAAAUAACAGCAGAUAAAGCGACUGUACAACUGAUACCUUUAAAACCAAGAAUUGUAGAUGUCAAAAAGGAUCCAAAUGGUUAUGGAUUCUAUUUACGCCAAGAAAAGAAUCGCAAAGGUCAUUUUAUUAUGGAAAUAGAUCCCGGCAGCCCAGCAGACAAAGCUAAACUAAAGGACUAUGACCGUAUUGUUGCUGUUAAUGGCGAGUGCGUGGAACAGAAGGCUCAUGAAGAAGUGGUGACAGCCAUUCAGAAAGGAGGCAAUAAGAGCACUUUGUUAGUGGUGGAUAAAAAGACUGAUGAACUAUACACACUGGCUGGCAUCUCUCCUUUCUUAUAUCUGAAAGAAUCCAAUACUGAGAUAAAGAGUGGGACAAAGGAUGUGACAGCACCAGUGUCAGUCCCAGUAACUAUACCCUCCACUGCCACAAAACCAGAACAAUCUCCAUCUACUGUACCAGUUUCCAGCCCAGCUAUUACUCCAAUUGUUUCUUCUCCUGAUCCAAAAUACAAGCCGAGACUUUGCAUAUUACAUAAAAACAAAACGGGAUACGGUUUUCAUCUGAACGCUAUCAAAGAGAUCCCUGGACAGUUUAUUAAGCAGGUGGCGAGUGGUGGCCCAGCUGAUGUGGGCGGAGUUAAAGAGGACGACAUUCUUUUGGAAGUAAAUGGCAUGAAUGUGGAAAAGGAAGCCUAUGAACAAGUAGUGCAGAGAAUUAAAGAAAGUGGAGAGAAUCUGACACUCUUGGUAGCAUCACAAGAAGUUUUUGAAUAUUUUAAAGCACAAAAAAUCCCCAUCAAGUCUUCCAUGGCAGAUCCUCUUCCAGAAGAUAAUAAACCUCCCAGCUAUGCUGACAUCAACCCAGCACCAGCAAGCAAAGCAAGAUCAGUCGCAGAGCCAAUAGAAAUAGCAAGUCAACCACCGGCAGAAGAAUCCAAAAAGAAAGAGGAUAGUGACAGUGACAGUGAAGAAGAAAAUGAUGAUGAUACAGCUUUGUAAGAAGGACAAAGAUCCUGGCAGCUUUCAAUAAUGUGACAUUUACCAAUCUAUGCUUCCAACUUCUUAAAUAUCUCUAAUUAAGACGGGCUUCGCACCUUCAAUCAAAUCUCGAUCUUCGUUUGGGAAUUUGAAUUGGAUUAAUUAUUUCUCUUCUAUCAACUACCAGUUUUCUUCGUAUCAACUGUUUCCCAAGCUGCUUCAAGUUUUUUGGUUCCUGUUCAUCUUAUUAUUAAUUGUUGGACUUUGUUGUGUUUUAUGUUUCUUUGGGAACUUCUUUUUCAUGAGUUUUAAACAAGAAAGAGGAAGAUGGGGUGCUCAUUGGUCGGUUUAUGGACAGUAUGGGUCUUCUGAUUGGUCCAUUAUUACACUGUUAUCUACAAUAGCCUUUUCCUGGGCAAAUU